AAUCUUCCGCAAUGGACGAAAGUCUGACGGAGCAACGCCGCGUGAGCGAAGAAGGCCUUCGGGUCGUAAAGCACUGUUGUGAGGGAAGAACAAGCACGAGAGUAACUGCUCGUACAUUGACGGUACCUAACCAGAAAGCCACGGCUAACUACGUGCCAGCAGCCGCGGUAAUACGUAGGUGGCAAGCGUUGUCCGGAAUUAUUGUGCGUAAAGCGCGCGCAGGCGGUCCUUUAAGUCUGAUGUGAAAGCCCACGGCUCAACCGUGGAGGGUAAUUGGAAACUGGGGGACUUGAGUGCAGAAGAGGAGAGUGGAAUUCCACGUGUAGCGGUGAAAUGCGUAGAGAUGUGGAGGAACACCAGUGGCGAAGGCGACUCUCUGGUCUGUAACUGACGCUGAGGCGCGAAAGCGUGGGGAGCAAACAGG
rnacentral:rRNA from 1 species